rnacentral:lncRNA from 1 species
UUUCUUUUUAUUUCUUAUCUCUCACUAAACUCAUAUUUUUAAGUGAACCCAUAUUCUUAAUUUCAUUGAGCCUGCAAAGCAGUUUUUUUUUAUUUUAGUUUGAAAUUCUUCAAAUGUAUAAAACAGUAGAAAGAAAUAGUACAAUAAACAGUGUGAAAUUGAUUGUUAAUGAUAUGAACGAUCUAAUUAGUUCUCUGUGUGCAUAAAUACAGAAAACAAUUUGAAAGUUAGCAGCACACAUUGAGUCUUUCCGAACUGCCCACAGAUGUAUAGAUAUAUUUCUAAGAAUCUGGAGUGUCUUCUUUUCCUUCUAGCUAUUUGGGAGCAGGGUGGGGUGUCCACCUAUCCACAGGCCUUUUAUGUCAUUCCUGCAGUGAUUUGUUGACCUAGACCACUCAGUGUGGCCUAUCACUGAUAUCAGAAAUAUAUCACACGUCCAGGUCAGGCAUGCCUUACUGCUUAGAAUGGGAAACAGCAUUAUUUCAAUCAGGAGUUGACUAUAAUUCUUACUAUGUUCAAAAUCAGCUCCGGAUCUGUGGUCCUUUUCAGUCACACACUAGCUCCAUAUUGGUCUGAUUCUGAGCAUGUUUUGAAGAUAGAGCCAAGAAUAUGGUUGAGUUCAAAGUCAGGGCUGGGAAAGACUUUUACUAAUUCUAUACAUUCCUAUGUUAUCACAUCCUAUCUCCAUCUGGACAGAUUGGCCCACUUAGGGAUUACAGGUCAGUAACACAAGAAUACAGGUCACUGUGAAAUAUCUAAAGAACAUUCAAGCACCCAGACC